AAUAAGGGACGGCUAACUACGUGCCAGCAGCCGCGGUAAUACGUAGGUCCCGAACGUUGCGCGAAAUUACUGGGCGUAAAGGGUCCGUAGGCGGUUUAGUAAGUGGAAGGUGAAAUCCUACGGCUCAACCGUAGAAUUGCCUUCCAAACUGCUGAACUUGAGGCAGGGAGAGGUCGGCGGAAUUCCCGGUGUAGCGGUGAAAUGCGUAGAUAUCGGGAGGAAC
rnacentral:rRNA from 1 species